GGCGUCACAUGGGGUGUGAUAUAAUAGGUAUAAAAGGAUGGGAUACGUAGCUAUCACCAUCUUGCGCCACCCCACUAGUGGUAGUGGAUGUAUGUACACGAAUGGGUUAACACAGAAGGAGAGUAUAAAACACUCUGUACCCAAGAGGGUAGUGAUAGGCUUGUGUCAUCGUGGCUAUGUGGUACGAAAUGUAUCUCACACUACAAUAAACUUGGGAUAUAUCCUCCUCUCGAGACAACAGCCAUUUGUAUUUAUCCAAAUUAAAUCCAAAUGAAUAAAAUUUCAUAGUGAACUACUAGAAUGAUGGCUUUUUUCUCUACACACUUAUUUCCCAAAAUGAGUAUGACUUUCUUAUAACACAGUACUAACCCUUGUCAAAAAUCUUAAUAAACCAAUCAUUAACCUAUAUUUUUAUCAUUACGUCUUAUACACUAAUUAGGUCAUAUAAUCCAAUCAUGUGCUAUUGCCUGUUAUACCAUGGAUACCAUAGAAAUACAAACACAUCUUAUCACUCAACACCAUCCAAGUUGCAUCAAAUGUUCUGUGAAAA